rnacentral:rRNA from 1 species
ACUUUACAAUGCGGGAAACCGUGAUAAGGGGACACCGAGUGCUAGCAUCAUAUGCUAGCUGUCCAGGCGUGUAAACUACGCCUGUUAGCAAGGGCCGGGCAAGACCGGUGCCAGCCGCCGCGGUAACACCGGCGGCCCGAGUGGUAAUCGUGAUUAUUGGGUCUAAAGGGUCCGUAGCCGGUUUGGUCAGUCCUCCGGGAAAUCUGAUAGCUUAACUAUUAGGCUUUCAGGAGAUACUGUCUGGCUCGAGGCCGGGAGAGGUGAGAGGUACUUCGAGGGGUAGGGUGAAAUCUU